GACGGAGGGGGCAAGCGUUGUUCGGAAUUAUUGGGCGUAAAGGGCGCGUAGGCGGAUUGGCAAGUCUGACGUGAAAUCUCCACCACUCAACGGGGAGAGGUCGUUGGAUACUACCGAUCUGGAGUUUGGUAGAGGAUCGUGGAAUUCCAGGUGUAGCGGUGGAAUGCGUAGAUAUCUGGAAGAACACCGGUGGCGAAGGCGGCGAUCUGGGCCAAAACUGACGCUGAGGCGCGAAAGCCAGGGGAGCAAACGGG
rnacentral:rRNA from 1 species